CGCACCUUGCGCUCCUUGGUAUUCCGAGGAGCAUGCCUGUUUGAGUGUCAUGAAGUUCUCAACCCUAAGAGCAUUUGUUUGUUCUCUGGGAUUGGAAUUGGAGGUUUGCCGGCGGUGGUCGACUCCUCUCAAAUAUAUUAGCUGGGCUGUGCUCGAGAGAAAACAGUCGGUGUGAUAAUUAUCUGCGCCGUCGCUGAAGUAUCUCGGAUCCCGCUUCUAAUCGUCCUUUGGACAAUACACCUUGACAUCUGACCUCAAAUCAGGUAGGAUUACCCGCUGAACUUAA
rnacentral:misc_RNA from 1 species